rnacentral:tRNA from 2 species
GGGCGGGUGGCGGAACUGGCAGACGCACAGGACUUAAAAUCCUGACCUCGCAAGAGGGUGUGGGUUCAAGUCCCACCCCGCCCA